AACAGGAUCCCCUAGUAACGGCGAGUGAAGCGGGAAAAGCUCAAAUUUAAAAUCUGGCAAUCUUUGGUUGUCCGAAUUGUAAUCUAGAGAAGCGUUUUCCGUGCUGGACUGUGUGCAAGUUUCCUGGAUACGGAACAUCAUAGAGGGUGAGAAUCCCGUCCUUCACACAGACUCCCAGUGCUUUGUGAUGCGCUCUCGACGAGUCGAGUUGUUUGGGAUUGCAGCUCAAAAUGGGAGGUAAAUUCCUUCUAAAGCUAAAUAUUGGCGAGAGACCGAUAGCGAACAAGUACCGUGAGGGAAAGAUGAAAAGCACUUUGGAAAGAGAGUUAAACAGUACGUGAAAUUGUUAAAAGGGAAACGCUUGAAGUCAGUCAUGUUUGCUUGGACUCAGCCUUACCUCGGUUUGGUGCAUUUCCUUGCAGACGGGCCAGCGUUCAUGUUGUUUUCCAGAGAAGGAGUGAGAGAAUGUGACUCCCUUGGGAGUGUUAUAGCUCUCACUCGCAUGUGGGGGAUAAUAUGAAGUGGUACAGCACGCUGUGGGGGUGCUUGUGCUGGCAUAAUGGCUUUAAACGACCCGUCUUGA
rnacentral:rRNA from 1 species